AGGGGUGUAGUUAGUGGUAGAGCGUUCGCUUUGUAUGUGAAAGGCCCGGGGUUCGAUCCCCCGCACCUCCA
rnacentral:tRNA from 1 species